UUUGUCAUAGGGUAAAAGUUGCAUACCCCUGGGCUGUAGGCUGCACACUUUGGGUCAAAUAUCAGGUUCUGUAGCUGUGUAUUUUAUCAGAAGAAAUCUAUCAAUUUGUAAGUCGCUCUGGAUAAGAGCGUCUGCUAAAUGACUUAAAUGUAAAUGUAAAAAUCUGUUCUACAAUGAUUAUUUUCCUUAGCUCAGGGUUGUUUUGCCUAUUUAUGGCAGCUGUGGGCAUACAAGCACAACAGACACCUAUAAAUGACCUGAAUGCCUUGGUAACGUUAUUCGUUUGAGUGUGGCUCCUCUUUUUGAAGAGGUUGAUGCUGUCUUCAAUGACACACAAAUCAUAAACCUGACGCCUGGCCUUGCUACUCAGUGUGGAUUCAGCAUUAAAUUUGACCCCAUGGGGAAUGCCAUGUUUUUUGCUUCUUUUCAAAACUGCUUUUCCCAAAACAUGGUAACCCUAAACUAU